UACGUAGGGUGCGAGCGUUGUCCGGAAUUACUGGGCGUAAAGAGCUCGUAGGUGGUUUGUCGCGUUGUUCGUGAAAACUCACAGCUUAACUGUGGGCGUGCGGGCGAUACGGGCAGACUGGAGUACUGCAGGGGAGACUGGAAUUCCUGGUGUAGCGGUGGAAUGCGCAGAUAUCAGGAGGAACACCGGUGGCGAAGGCGGGUCUUUGGGCAGUAACUGACGCUGGGGAGCGAAAGCGUGGGGAGCGAACAGG
rnacentral:rRNA from 1 species